GGGUUGUGAGGUUAAGCGACUAAGCGUACACGGUGGAUGCCCUGGCAGUCAGAGGCGAUGAAGGGCGUGCUAAUCUGCGAUAAGCGCCGGUAAGGUGAUAUGAACCGUUAUAACCGGCGAUACCCGAAUGGGGAAACCCAGUGUGACUCGUCACACUAUCAUUAACUGAAUCCAUAGGUUAAUGAGGCGAACCGGGGGAACUGAAACAUCUAAGUACCCCGAGGAAAAGAAAUCAACCGAGAUUCCCCCAGUAGCGGCGAGCGAACGGGGAGGAGCCCAGAGCCUGAAUCAGCAUGUGUGUUAGUGGAAGCGUCUGGAAAGGCGCGCGAUACAGGGUGACAGCCCCGUACACAAAAGCGCAUGUGCUGUGAGCUCGAUGAGUAGGGCGGGACACGUGGUAUCCUGUCUGAAUAUGGGGGGACCAUCCUCCAAGGCUAAAUACUCCUGACUGACCGAUAGUGAACCAGUACCGUGAGGGAAAGGCGAAAAGAACCCCGGCGAGGGGAGUGAAAAAGAACCUGAAACCGUGUACGUACAAGCAGUGGGAGCCCCACCACUAAGCCAGUGGUGAACUCCACAUACGCAUCCUUUGCUGAGGAUACGGUUAACGGAGCGAAAGCGACGUUCAACCUCAAAAGAAGCAGAGGGGGCUUAGUGGUGGGGUGACUGCGUACCUUUUGUAUAAUGGGUCAGCGACUUAUAUUCUGUAGCAAGGUUAACCGAAUAGGGGAGCCGGAGGGAAACCGAGUCUUAAUUGGGCGUUAAGUUGCAGGGUAUAGACCCGAAACCCGGUGAUCUAGCCAUGGGCAGGUUGAAGGUUGGGUAACACUAACUGGAGGACCGAACCGACUAAUGUUGAAAAAUUAGCGGAUGACCUGUGGCUGGGGGUGAAAGGCCAAUCAAACCGGGAGAUAGCUGGUUCUCCCCGAAAGCUAUUUAGGUAGCGCCUCGUGAACUCAUCUCCGGGGGUAGAGCACUGUUUCGGCUAGGGGGCCAUCCCGGCUUACCAACCCGAUGCAAACUGCGAAUACCGGAGAAUGUUAUCACGGGAGACACACGGCGGGUGCUAACGUCCGUCGUGAAGAGGGAAACAACCCAGACCGCCAGCUAAGGUCCCAAAGUCAUGGUUAAGUGGGAAACGAUGUGGGAAGGCCCAGACAGCCAGGAUGUUGGCUUAGAAGCAGCCAUCAUUUAAAGAAAGCGUAAUAGCUCACUGGUCGAGUCGGCCUGCGCGGAAGAUGUAACGGGGCUAAACCAUGCACCGAAGCUGCGGCAGCGACGCUGAUGCGUUGUUGGGUAGGGGAGCGUUCUGUAAGCCUGCGAAGGUGGCCUGUGAGGGUUGCUGGAGGUAUCAGAAGUGCGAAUGCUGACAUAAGUAACGAUAAAGCGGGUGAAAAGCCCGCUCGCCGGAAGACCAAGGGUUCCUGUCCAACGUUAAUCGGGGCAGGGUGAGUCGACCCCUAAGGCGAGGCCGAAAGGCGUAGUCGAUGGGAAACGGGUUAAUAUUCCCGUACUUGGUGUUACUGCGAAGGGGGGACGGAGAAGGCUAUGUUGGCCGGGCGACGGUUGUCCCGGUUUAAGCGUGUAGGUGUGUGUUCCAGGUAAAUCCGGUUCACUUUAACACUGAGGCGUGAUGACGAGGCACUACGGUGCUGAAGCAACAAAUGCCCUGCUUCCAGGAAAAGCCUCUAAGCAUCAGGUAACAUCAAAUCGUACCCCAAACCGACACAGGUGGUCAGGUAGAGAAUACCAAGGCGCUUGAGAGAACUCGGGUGAAGGAACUAGGCAAAAUGGUGCCGUAACUUCGGGAGAAGGCACGCUGACACGUAGGUGAAGUGAUUUACUCAUGGAGCUGAAGUCAGUCGAAGAUACCAGCUGGCUGCAACUGUUUAUUAAAAACACAGCACUGUGCAAACACGAAAGUGGACGUAUACGGUGUGACGCCUGCCCGGUGCCGGAAGGUUAAUUGAUGGGGUCAGCGCAAGCGAAGCUCCUGAUCGAAGCCCCGGUAAACGGCGGCCGUAACUAUAACGGUCCUAAGGUAGCGAAAUUCCUUGUCGGGUAAGUUCCGACCUGCACGAAUGGCGUAAUGAUGGCCAGGCUGUCUCCACCCGAGACUCAGUGAAAUUGAACUCGCUGUGAAGAUGCAGUGUACCCGCGGCAAGACGGAAAGACCCCGUGAACCUUUACUAUAGCUUGACACUGAACAUUGAGCCUUGAUGUGUAGGAUAGGUGGGAGGCUUUGAAGUGUGGACGCCAGUCUGCAUGGAGCCGACCUUGAAAUACCACCCUUUAAUGUUUGAUGUUCUAACGUGGACCCGUUACCCGGGUUGCGGACAGUGUCUGGUGGGUAGUUUGACUGGGGCGGUCUCCUCCUAAAGAGUAACGGAGGAGCACGAAGGUUGGCUAAUCCUGGUCGGACAUCAGGAGGUUAGUGCAAUGGCAUAAGCCAGCUUGACUGCGAGCGUGACGGCGCGAGCAGGUGCGAAAGCAGGUCAUAGUGAUCCGGUGGUUCUGAAUGGAAGGGCCAUCGCUCAACGGAUAAAAGGUACUCCGGGGAUAACAGGCUGAUACCGCCCAAGAGUUCAUAUCGACGGCGGUGUUUGGCACCUCGAUGUCGGCUCAUCACAUCCUGGGGCUGAAGUAGGUCCCAAGGGUAUGGCUGUUCGCCAUUUAAAGUGGUACGCGAGCUGGGUUUAGAACGUCGUGAGACAGUUCGGUCCCUAUCUGCCGUGGGCGCUGGAGAACUGAGGGGGGCUGCUCCUAGUACGAGAGGACCGGAGUGGACGCAUCACUGGUGUUCGGGUUGUCAUGCCAAUGGCACUGCCCGGUAGCUAAAUGCGGAAGAGAUAAGUGCUGAAAGCAUCUAAGCACGAAACUUGCCCCGAGAUGAGUUCUCCCUGAGACUUUAAGUCUCCUGAAGGAACGUUGAAGACGACGACGUUGAUAGGCCGGGUGUGUAAGCGCAGCGAUGCGUUGAGCUAACCGGUACUAAUGAACCGUGAGGCUUAACCUUACAACGCCGAAG
rnacentral:rRNA from 1 species